CCUACGGGCGGCAGCAGUGAGGAAUAUUGGUCAAUGGACGAGAGUCUGAACCAGCCAAGUAGCGUGAAGGAUGACUGCCCUCUGGGUUGUAAACUUCUUUUAUAUCGGAAUAAAAUGUUCCACGUGUGGGAUUUUGUAUGUACCAUAUGAAUAAGGAUCGGCUAACUCCGUGCCAGCAGCCGCGGUAAUACGGAGGAUCCGAGCGUUAUCCGGAUUUAUUGGGGUUAAAGGGAGCGUAGGUGGAUUGUCAAGUCAGUUGUGAAAGUUUGCGGCUCAACCGUAAAACUGCAGUUGAAACUGGCAGUCUUGAGUACUGUAGAGGUGGGCGGAAUUCGUGGUGUAGCGGUGAAAUGCUUAGAUAUCACGAAGAACUCCGAUGGCGAAGGCAGUUCACUGGACUGCAACUGACACUGAGGCUCGAAAGUGUGGGUAUCAAACAGGAUUAGAUACCCCAGUAGUC
rnacentral:rRNA from 1 species